UGCAGUUUAGUAUUGUCAUUAUAGUCAUAGAUUUAUUAUAGGUUAUUAAUUUUUUUACUUUAUACACUUUGAAAUGUAUAAUUUAUCAUUAAUAUCCCCUAUUUUCAAAAAUUGGCAGCCACGUAUGAAACAUCCCUAACCUCCCAAACCUAACGUACGAAUCUACAUUUCUCCAUUUCUAGGUAUUCGAAAAAGAAAGAAACGACGAAUGGAUGGGUACAAUUAAACGUAGCCCUAAACAUAUCUAUCCAAUUGACUACAAAUCUCGUUUGUGGCGUACAAAAAAUGAAAUGGAGCUAUCAUUCAGAAUGUGUAUGUAGGUCAGAACCUUGACGAUUAAACAGCAUAGAACGAUUUGUGUCGAUAUUCUCGAAAAUCAAGAAAUGAGAAGGAUGCGAUUAAUUACAUAUUAUCGUGUGUUUUGCAAUGGAAUGUGGAACGAUUCGGAAGAGGAUAUCGUCACCAGAGACUUCCAUCAAUUAAUAGUCGAUGAAGGAAGUGACGAAGGUAAGAGAUGUGGAAGAGAAACUUACAACCAAAGUCGAUGUCGAACUCAGAGACUUACAUCAAUAAAUAGUCAAUGUCGAACUCAGAGACUGAAGAAACGAAAAAUUGGGGGUUGAAGACAGCAAGAUUGAAGAAAUCUUGUUUAUAAAGAUAUUAGCGAAAACUUCAAAAGAAUACCUCGAAAUCGAUUAAGAAUGGAAACAAAAUCAGACCCUGGUAUACUUGGUUUCGGAUGUCUGCUGAUUCUUGCUUCCUUCAUAUGAGAUUUAUUGGCCUUUUUGCCCUUGUUGAUGCUCCUGCUGCAUACCCAAUAAAUGGAUGGACCGGAGUUGCUGCAUUAUCUCAUGUAUAGUGUGAGGUACUAAUACACCUUCCAAAGCUGCUUAACUUGAAGAACCUUGCCAAAACUAUGUUAUAGCUACCAAUAUAAACCCUACCCUUCAUGAAGUAAGAAAAAAUUGAAUACCCUCGUAUACUUGGUUUCGGAUGAUUCUUGCUUCCUUCAUAUGAGGUUUAUCGGCCUUUUUGCCCUUGUUGAUGCUCCUGGAAUACUGAGAUGCGAUAGAGAAACCAUGAAGAAGAUGAAGGAGAAGGAAAUAAAUGCAGAAAUAAAUCACGAUAGAAUACAGACUAACCUUAUGCGUUCAAGUUUGAUGAAGCAGAAUUUCAAAGAUGCAAUCGAUACAGGAAGAAUAUGAAGCAGAAUAUCAUAUAUCCAAGUAACCGGUGGAUAUAUAGUUCAAAAACUGAAAGAACCGUAAUGUUUAUGAUAUUUAAGGUUUAUUGGAAUAGGAAGAUUUGAAAUUUCAAAUCCGAAAAAUUAAGAAGCUUUGGCUGGAUUAGGUCUUUUUCCUGCUACAAUUUCUGAAUCUCGUUGUAGUGAAUCGACUGCUGAACGAGUCAAGGACGAGUCUAACAAUGAGGAAUGGUUAGAAGAAUGGGUUGAAGAAUUACAUUCUUAUGAUAAUACAUCACAUUUUCGUAAGAAUACUUGGAAUCAAGUUGAUUCUUUGGACCAUUGAAGAAGAUUAAGUGCAUUUGUUCAAUAACCGUUUGACAAGAUGAAUGGGGCUGCAUUAGUUGCUAUCAUUGUGUUGAAGACCUAAUAAGAAUAACUUGAAGAAUGAAUAAUGUUUGAUCAUAAUCACAAUUUUAGAAUGUUGAUAAUUUUUAAGAUUUUUAUUCAUUUUUGUUGAUAUUCUUUUAGAAUAUGUAUAAUUAUAUUAAAAUGUAUAAGACUUUUAAUCUGUAGGAAUAUGUAUUUAACUUCAGAUGUAUAAAAAUAUAUAUUAGAAUGUUGUUAUUUUUCAA